rnacentral:rRNA from 1 species
GACGAACCGUGCGAACGUUGUUCGGAUUCACUGGGCUUAAAGGGCGCGUAGGCGGUACGCCAAGUCUGGGGUGAAAUCUUUCGGCUCAACCGGAAAAUUGCCUGGGAUACUGGCGUGCUCGAGGGAGGUAGGGGCAGCGGGAACUGCCAGUGGAGCGGUGAAAUGCGUUGAUAUUGGCAGGAACGCCGGUGGCGAAAGCGCGUUGCUGGACCUCUUCUGACGCUGAUGCGCGAAAGCUAGGGGAGCAAACGGG